rnacentral:rRNA from 1 species
AUUGAACGCUGGCGGCAGGCCUAACACAUGCAAGUCGAACGGUAACAGGAAGCAGCUUGCUGCUUCGCUGACGAGUGGCGGACGGGUGAGUAAUGUCUGGGAAGCUGCCUGAUGGAGGGGGAUAACUACUGGAAACGGUAGCUAAUACCGCAUAAUGUCGCAAGACCAAAGAGGGGGACCUUCGGGCCUCUUGCCAUCGGAUGUGCCCAGAUGGGAUGAGCUUGUUGGUGGGGUAACGGCUCACCAAGGCGACGAUCCCUAGCUGGUCUGAGAGGAUGACCAGCCACACUGGAACUGAGACACGGUCCAGACUCCUACGGGAGGCAGCAGUGGGGAAUAUUGCACAAUGGGCGCAAGCCUGAUGCAGCCAUGCCGCGUGUAUGAAGAAGGCCUUCGGGUUGUAAAGUACUUUCAGCGGGGAGGAAGGGAGUAAAGUUAAUACCUUGGCUCAUUGACGUUACCCGCAGAAGAAGCACCGGCUAACUCCGUG